CGGAUCAGGCACUGCUGUGGCUGUGGUGUAGGCUGGCGGCUACAGCCCCGAUUCAACCCCUAGCCUGGGAACUUCCAUAUGCCAAGAGCAUGGCCUGAAAAAAGGAAAAAAAAAAAAAAAAAGAUGAGAUGAGAAAAGAUGCAAGGUCAGGAGUCCUACGGUAUCCUGCAGACUCUGACUUUCCCUCUGCCCUCGAGGAUCUACUAAAUAUUCACCUCCACAGUUGUUUUCCGAGCUCAAGGGAUUCCCUCUUAAUCAAUAAACAUUUCACAACCACACAAACACCAUUAGCUGAAAAUAUUAUUUUGGCUUAGUACGUGUCCUUGUUACAUCGUGGUUUAUAUCUGGAAAGGCCUCCGUAUGAUCAUUAUACAUGGAAGCAGUGAUGUCUCGCUAAUGCAGCAUCACAGGGACGGCUCCUGUACGGGGGGGCUCCAGGCCAUAGCAGUGACCUUCCUGGAUAGAUGAAAAUGACCUCCCUAAAGACCAGCCCUUUGAAAAGUUUCACCAUUUUUCCUGGAACUCUUAGUUUUCAAAACCAUAACAAAAACUUAUGUUUAUCAAUGGAUUUUUUAAAUUCAUUGAAUUAAAAAACAUUAAUUUUAAAAAAUUGGAUUUUUUUAAAUUAAAAAUAUAGAGAUGCCUGCCUCUUUAUAAUGUGGAAAUCAAUUUAGCUUUUUCAUCGCCUUCCAGAGCAUCAUGAAGAGAAGGCAUAAUUGAACAUUGUAAUAAUUUGGUACUAGUUUUGCUUUACUCAGCAUUAGAUCACCAGAUGACACUUUGUGCCAUUAUUUUACCCAUUGGUCCCCCUUUUUUUUUUUUGGCUUUUUAGGGCCGCACCCACAGCAUAUGGAGGUUCCCAGGCUAGGGGUCGAAUUGGAGCUACAGCUGCCAACCUACGCCACAGUCACAGUAAUGCCAGAUCCAAGCCACAUCUGCAAACUACACCACAGCUCAUGGCAACGCCGGAUCCUUAACCCACUGACCAAAGCCAGGGAUCGAACUCGUAUCCUCAUGGAUCCUAGUCGAGUUCGUUAACCACUGAGCCACAAAGAGAACUCCCAUUGGUCCCUUCUAAUGCACAGCUUCCAAGCUGCUCCAGACCAGCACACCAGGAGAUCAAACUGAGGAGUCAGAAACGACCUUGUCCACUGCUGGUGCUGGUGGGAAGAUAAACUGGCACAGCUGCUCUGGGUGGUUCCCCCCAAAAUAAAAAUAGAAUUAUCAUAUGAUCCAGCAAUCCCACUUCUGGGUAUAUACCCAAAAGAAUUUAAAGCAUGGUCUCAAUGAGAUUUUGUGUGCUCCUGUUCACAGCAGCACGGUUCACCAUAGCCAAAAGGUGGGAACAGCUGGAGGGUCUGUCGACUCUUGGUGGGUAAACAAAGUCUGGUGUAUACCUACAGUGGAGUAGUAUUCAGCCUUAAAAAGGAAGUGUUGUCAGAGUUCCCGGUGUGGCUCAGCGGAAAUGAGGCUGACUGGUAUCCGUGAGGACACAGGUUCGAUCCCUGGCCUUGUUCAGCGAGUUAAGGAUCGGGCAUUGCCGUGAGCUGUGGUGUAGGUCCCAGAUGUGGCUCAGAUCCUGCGUUGCUGUGGCUGUGGCAGAGGCCAGCGGCCGAAGCUCCAAUUCGGCCCCUAGCCUGGGAUGCUCUAUAUGCCACUAGUGCAGCUUUAAAAAAAAGGAAGUAUUUUCCCCCAGAGUCCCCACGUUGUCCUGGACAGAGUGAGUUUCCUUCCUGAGGUCAUUUCCACCCAGGCCACGACCUGUACCCGUCAUGGCCCACCCCUCACCCCCGCCCUGCCAUCUCCCAGCUCCCAAGGAGGUCAAAAGAGGAGCGAAGGGAACGGAAGAGAUGGGAAGGGAAAAGUGGCUCAGGGGACAGCCCCCCUCUGCGCCGGGCGGGACGACAGCUGGAUCCGUGGGCACGUGCACCUAUAUGCUAUGAUCCCAUUUUACAGAUGACGGAAAGGCGGCUUCCAGUUUCCAAAUGCCAAAAUGAGUGGAGUGUGAGAAACAAGAAAGUGUUGGGAGUUGGUUACUCCCAGAUUUCUAGAGAAGUGAACCUGUGUCCCAGUGCUGCAGAGACAUGGCAGAUCGUGCUGUGGCACGGCAGGAACUCCCAGGCCUAUUCUUUUUUUUUUUCUUUUUUUUGUCUUUUGUCUUUUGUUGUGUUGUUGUUGUUGUUGCUAUUUCUUGGGCCGCUCCCGCGGCAUAUGGAGGUUCCCAGGCCAGCGGCUACAGCUCCAAUUUGACUCCUAGCCUGGAAACAUCCAUAUGCCAUGAGAGCGGCCCUAGAAAAGGCAAAAGGACAAAACAAAACAAAACAAAACAAAGCACAAGAGACAGUGGCUGGCUCCCUUACUAUGGCAAACUCAGAAUAAUGGCCCAUGGGUCGAGUCAACCUACGCCACAGCCACGGCAGCACUGGAUCCGAGCCACAUCCGCCACCUACAACACAGCUGGUGGCAACGCCCAGAUACUUAACCUACCUAGAAAGGCCAGGGGUCGAACCCACAUCCUCAUGGACACUAUGUCAGGUUCUUAACCACUGAGCCGCAACAGAAACUCCCGGCUUUUCUCAUUUUAUUGGUCUUCCUUUGUUUCCACAGAUGUUUACUAUAUAAUUAAAAAAUGCUAUUCAACCUUUUGCAACACUUAAUAACUCCCCAGACAUAACUGUUACAACCCUGGCUUACUAGCAAGACCACCGGCCUCGCCCGUCACCUCUCCCACUGGUUGUCAUGACAUUAACCAGCCAUCUGGCAAGUGACAGGAUCACCACGUGCCAUAUAGUUCUUUCAUUAUUAUAGCACUGAAAUUUUUAACAGUGGGCAAUCAUUUGAAAAAUUCUUUUAGAACAAUUCUUUUGCCACUUAGACUCUUCUAUGGUACUUACUUCAGAAACUGAGGAAGAGCAAGUAUUAAUUUGUUCUUAUGUUCGUGGAAGGUUGAGUGGCCGUCAUUGAUGACCUCCAAACAAUAGCAACGUUUGUACAUCCUACUUGAGAAUGUACAUGACUCCGAGCUCGCACCGCUCACUGCACGACAGACCAAUAAGCCAAGAGAUGACAUGUUGGGGCGAGGAAUAGUGACUUUAUUCAGAAAGCCAGCAGACCAAAAAGACGGUGGACUCGUGUCCCAAAGAACCAGCUUGCCUGAGUUAGCAUUCAGCCUUCUUUUAUACUAAAAGGGGAGGGCGCAACGUCAGCCACUUCCUGGUUCCCAUCGACCUCUGGAAGGGAUGUGUUAAUGUCUUCCUUCCCGCAGCCACUCACAGGUGGACCUGGUCAGGAUGUUUCCUGGGAGCUGAACAAGGGUAUUUUAGCUUCAUGCUCAUUACUUUGGGAGGCAGGGUUCCCAGAGAUGGGCCAUGAUUAUAAUUUAAGCUUACGGGCAACAGCCCUUUAGUGAUUAACUUGUAAUAGAACACAAAGCUUCUUGCCUCUUACACAGGUUAGGAACUCUUUCCGUUUGCCUGGAUCUGAAUAACCACCAGCUGCACGUCGGAGGUAAGAAAGUGUUUGAUAAAGCUGGGUCUAUGAUCGUGCUGAAUCGUCAUAAAGGAAAAUAUUUUUUAAAAUAGGCGCCACACUUUUCUCCUUGUACCUCCACAUAUAUGACUUCUCCCAGUUCUGUUAGCAGUAUCCAUUUGUCUCAGGCAGGGUGGUGCUUCUUAAGGAAGGAAGGUAAAGAGAAAAUGUUAUGUUUUUGCAGUCUAGCCAUUGCUUUUGAGAAAUUUGGAGGGGGGAUCUUUUUAGGGCCAUACCCUCAGCGUAUGGAGGUUCUCAGGCUAGGGGUCAAAUCAGAGCUGUAGCCGCUGGCCUACACCACAGCCAUAGCAACACAGGAUCCUUAACCCACUAAGCGAGGCCAGGGAUUGAAACUUCGUCCUCAUGGAUGCUAGUCAGAUUCAUUUCUGCUGAGCGGGAACUCCGCUUUUGAGAAUUUUUAAGAUCACAGACUUGCAAAGAGACAGAUGCUUUAUAUUUCCAGGGGCAAAUCGGGCUGGCUUGUGGAUUAUUACAAGAACAUAAUUUUUAACCCUGAUGAUCAUUUGAAAAAUGUAAGAGGAGUUCCCGUCGUGGCUCAGUGGUUAAUAAAUCCGACCCGGAACCAUGAGGUUGAGGGUUUGAUCCCUGGCCUCGCUCAGUGGGUUGGGGAUCCGGCGUUGCCGUGAGCUGUGGUGUAGGUUGCAGACGCGGCUCGGAUCCCGCGUUGCUGUGGCUCUGGCAUAAGGCCAGCGGCUACAGCUCCGAUUCCACCCCUAGCCUGGGAACCUCAACACUGAAUGUGUUAGUUAUGUUAUUUUAAGGAAGUAAAGCAAACAUAUCUUUCAGAAACGUGAUUGAUUCUCACAUAGGGCUCAUUUUGAAUCCAUGCGUUAAGGCUCAUCAGCCCAGGUGAUAGGCUGUCAUUUCUGGUUCUUUAUCAAUUUGGCUCCCUCUAGUGGUCAGUGUGUGAGUUUACUAAAAUUCUCCAGUAGGUUCUCAUUCUUUAAAACGUCCUUUAAAAAACAAAGCAGCGUCAUUUCUUUUGUUUAGGGGGAACUGAUUGACUGAAAUUAAGAGAAUAUGUAUAUUUUUAGCAAAUAUGAUAAUCAUUUUUUGAAGAAUUACUAAGAUUUUAUAUAGGGUUGACAGAUUUAGCCAAUAAAAAAUACAAGGUACUCAGUACAAUUUAAAUUUCAGAUUAAGAAAAUUUUUUAAUAAUAAAUAUGCUCCAAAUAC
rnacentral:lncRNA from 9 species